UUUAAGUGAGUUUUGGAGCGGAGUUCUGCCAGGCCGGAUCUCGCCACACGGAUAAAGGCCUCGAGAGCCACCUGACACUCACCAGGAAACUGAGGCGGAGGCUGAAAGUGACCUGCCAGUGGUUUCCCAGAGGCCCUCAGCGAUGGGGAAGGAAGAUAAAGCCACGCAGUCCGCUGUCGCUGCCCCUGCCGGCAACGAACUAACUCCCAAGUUGCGGAGAGGAGGCCCGGGACCACAGCUGCCACUACGCGAUGAGGGUAACAGCAGUCGUUUAUGGAGAGCGUCCUCCCUGCUCAACACGAACUCAUUCAGCCCUCCAACCACCAGAUGAGGCUGGAACUGUUUCUCCCUUUUACAGCUGAAGAAAUGGAGACUCACAGAUGUGGCAGAACCAGGCCUGAAAGGUUUUGUCCCAGCCUUCCCUUUUUAACAGCCCUGCUCUGUCCCUCUCAGCAAAAAGUACCAGAAGGCCGAAUGUGUCUCCCCAACAGGAAGCCCGGGGAGACACAAAGCUACAAUGGCACUCUGGGUGUAAACAAUCAAAGAAAGGUUUGAAAAAGAGAGUGCUGAGUAAUCUAGUCCUUGAAAGAAGAUGGGAGGACAUUAGUCUAGAAGAGAGACCAGGCAUAGGUGCCAGAAAACAGGGUCUUCUCUCACCUCUUGGUCCCUCUGCCAGCGCUGUCCCAGGCAGACAUCCAGACGCUGGUGGAGAGCAGUUUGCUCUAAUUAGUGAAAGGGCUGUUGGGCAGGUCCUCAAAGCCACUCACCCCCUUUUAUUUUCCCCUUAAAAUCUCUAAUUGCCAAGAGAAGAUAAGAGACCUGGCUUUCCCAGGAUGGCCACUCCAAGCUCCCUCAUGUGCCCUCGCAGAUCCCAUCUUGGCACACAACUCUUGGCCACUACUGAGCAGAAGGCAAUCAAAGAGAGGAAGUUGAAUAGUGCGAAAAGGGCACAAACUGGCCUCACUGACCCCACCAGAGCUCUGUGACACUGUUCUCUCUCUUCCCCAUUCUGGGCUUGGAUUGGCUGGGGUGGAUUCUAUGAUCCCUUUCAGCCUUAAAAUUUUCACUGCUAUAGCAUCACACUUAACACAAGUGAUUUAGAUCCCUCGCCAGACCAUGAGUUCCAGGAAGGCAGAAACGACACCCAUUUCACUUCUGCCUUAUUCCCACUGACAAGCCUGUGAACUAACUCAUUGUAGGAACUUAAUAAAUGUGUGUUCAAUGAUG